AGUGAACGUUGGCGGUAGGCCUAACACAUGCAAGUCGAACGGCAGCACAGUAAGAGCUUGCUCUUACGGGUGGCGAGUGGCGGACGGGUGAGGAAUACAUCGGAAUCUACUUUUUCGUGGGGGAUAACGUAGGGAAACUUACGCUAAUACCGCAUACGACCUACGGGUGAAAGCAGGGGAUCUUCUGACCUUGCGCGAUUGAAUGAGCCGAUGUCGGAUUAGCUAGUUGGCGGGGUAAAGGCCCACCAAGGCGACGAUCCGUAGCUGGUCUGAGAGGAUGAUCAGCCACACUGGAACUGAGACACGGUCCAGACUCCUACGGGAGGCAGCAGUGGGGAAUAUUGGACAAUGGGCGCAAGCCUGAUCCAGCCAUACCGCGUGGGUGAAGAAGGCCUUCGGGUUGUAAAGCCCUUUUGUUGGGAAAGAAAAGCAGCAGGUUAAUACCCCGCUGUUCUGACGGUACCCAAAGAAUAAGCACCGGCUAACUUCGUG
rnacentral:rRNA from 1 species